GUGUCUUGGAUCGCGCGGGUCAAAUGUAUAUGGUUCAUAUACAUCCGCAGGCACGUAAUAAAGCGA
rfam:Tobacco mosaic virus genome (variant 1)